UAUAUUUCAUAAUAUUGUUAUUAUAUAAUAACAUUUUAGGACUUAUGUUUUUUAUAUUUUGUACGUGUGUUUUGGUAUAGUUUAAAUAAAUGUAAUUAUUUUAUUAAUAUUUAAGUUUUAUAUUGUAUAUAGUAAAAAAUGAUUUCUAUAUAAAAAUAUAGUAUGUAAGAAUUAUUAUAUUUAUAUGUAAAAAGAAAUAAAAUGUUCAUUUUAUAUUUAUUUAAAAGCAAUAUAUAUGAAAUAGCAUAUAUUUAUUUAUAUAUAUUUUGUUGUUGUAUUAUAUAAUAUAUACAUAUAUAUAUAAUAUUUAUUAGAUAAUUUUUUUAUGAUAUAUUUAUAAUUAUAAAUAUAUUUAUAUGAUGUAAUAAUUAUUUAAGUUGAAAGGUAAAACAAAAUAUUAUUUUAUUUUUUUUUAUAUAAAGACUUUUUAUAUGUGUUUAUCCCUGUUAUUGUGAAAAUAUUAUUUUAUAUGUUAUAAAAAAGUAUAUAUAAACAUCUAUAUACUCAUAAAAAGAAAAAAAAAAUUGAAAAAUUCACAUUUUUAUUUUUGGAAAAAAAAAUUAUAAAAUUAAAAUAUAUAAUAUUAUCGCAUAUACCUGCAUAUGUAUGUGUAUAUUAUAAUGUAAUUUAUACACUACAAGUAUUUCAUAUAAUAUUUUUUGUUGUUUUUUGAUGAUGUAAUUUUUGUAAGUUAUGAGAAAUAUAUAUAUAUAUAUAUAUAUAUAUAUAUAUAUAUAUAUAUAAUAUAUUCAUAUUUCCAGUUAUUAACACAUCAUACUUUUUUAUAUUAAUAGAAUUAUUUUUUUUUAUUAAUAUUUUUGGAUAUAAUUUAUUUGCUUGGUAAUCUUUUUUUUUCUUUUUUAUCACACAGUUUUUCGUUAGUUUUAUUUUGGUUAUUUAUAUCAGUCCUAUUUACAUUUUUAUCAUUUUUAUUUGGUGUGCAUUCUUUUUUCAUACAUCCAUUUGGGACGCAUUCUUUUUUCAUACAUUCUUUUGGGACGCAUUGUUUUUUCAUACAUUCGUUUGGGACACAUUGUUUUUUCAUAUGUCCAUUUGUGACGCAUUCUUUUUUCAUACAUUCUUUUGGGACGCAUUGUUUUUUCAUACAUCCAUUUGGGACGCAUUCUUUUUUCAUAUUUUCAUUUGGGAUACAUUCUUUUGGUAUGCUUUCGUUUUUUAUACUUUCUUUUGGGUUACAUUCUGUUUUGAUAUUUAUCUUUUUGUAGUUAUUUUCUUUGCAUAUUUUAUCAGAUUGAUAAGUUUCAUAUACUUUUGGAAAGUACUGUAAUUUCUUUUCAUUAGUGAAAUUAUUCCAUGAGUGUAUGCAUUCUUUUAUAUAGGAUAUAAAUUCGUCAAUGGAUUGGAUUUUUCUAAUAAAUACAUCAAAAUUCGAAUGUAUAUUUGGAUGUUCUUUUAUGAAAUCACAUUGAAGAUCAUGUUUAAUUUUACACCAUGUUGACUUUCGGUGUUUUUCUGGUAUAUCAUUUUGAUGUGCCAAUAUUAAGGAUACAUUUUCUAAAGCUUCUAUCAGAUAAUGAAAAUUUUUUCUGCGAUUUUCAUUUAAAUCAUUAAAUAUAUUGGUUAGUUCUUGUAUUGACGUUUUUGGAUCUAAGGAUGUAAUUUGUUCAUUUAAUUCUUCUGUAUAUUCUAGAUUAAAGUUUAAAUUAUUAAAAUAACCUUCAGCAUUAUUUUCAUUUUUUAUAAGAUUUAGUGCUUUUUGUUUACUUUCUUUUUCUGUUCUAAAACAUGUAGAUCUUUGUGUUACAAAAUCACCUCUCAAUGAAUGCUGCAUAGCAGAUGCUAAAGUUCUUGAAUUCCUAUGAAGUAAUUCUGCAUAUGGUAUAGUAUUAAAUUGUAUCUUACCAGUUUUCUAAAAGCAAAAAAUAAUAUAUUCAUAAAUAAAUAAAUAAAUAAAUAAAUAAAUAUAUAUAUAUAUAUAUAUAUAUUUAUAUUUUAUUUACAUAAUUUAUCUUACUAAUAAUAGUAUGAAAUACACAAGUGUAAUUGUGUAUAUAAUAAACUUCUUAAAGGUUAUAUGUUGCUUCAUUUUUGACUUUAUUAUAUAUAGUAAUAUAUUCUUUCUGAUUGAUUAUUUAUUUUUAAUUAUUUUGU
rnacentral:rRNA from 1 species